CUUAUAAACCUUGUUUUAUUCAUCUUAGUAUACCUAGCACUUGGUCUGGUUCAAAAUAUGUGAUUGUUAAAAGUUUUUUGAAUGAAUGGAUAAUAAUACUAAGUCUUAUCAUUUAUUUCAAAUUAGUGUCUUCCUAUUUAUUCUCACUGUUUUAUUUCAGUUUGCAAAUAUAUCUUGGUUUUCCUUCUUGAAAUUUCACUCUUUACCAUACUGCAGCCAUGCAGCCAAAGACUUUUUUUUUUGAAAAAUCAGUUUGGAUUAUGUGAUUUCCUAGAUUUAAACUCAUUGUUGACUUCCUAUCACUGGGAGAAAAGCCUUAGAACUUUGGUAAUAAGCAUAUUUAAAAAAAUAUUUGAUCUAGGCGUUCCCGCUAUGGCUCAGCGGUUGACAAACCCGACUCACAUCCAUGAGGAUGCAUGUUUGAACCCUGGCCUCCCUCAGUGGGUUAAGGAUCCAGGGUUUCUGUGAGCUGUGGUGUAGGUUGCAGACGCAGCUCAGAUCUCACGUUGCUGUGACUGUGGUGUAGGCCAGCUGCUAUAGCUCCAAUUGGACCCCUAGCCUGGGAACCUCCAUAUGCCACGGAUGCAGUCCUAAAAAGACAAAAAAAAUACCUAUAUUUGAUCUAGCCCUGGCCUAUUAUUGCUUCCUCAUCUCCCGCUACUCACCCAUAUACUUAGAUAUCCCAUCCAUGCUGCCUUCCUGGCAGAUCUUGGGAGGACUCAGGUGUUCUUGCAUCUCUGGGAUCAUGUUCCUGCUAUUCCCUCAACCUGGAUUAUCCUCUGCCUCUUGCCUGAUUUGACCUAGUCCUAAAAAUAUAAACUUAUCACUUGGUUCUUAGUAAAAAGGCCAUCUUCUCUGCCUGGAACAGCCUUGCUGAACCCCAUCUUUCUUCCGUCUUUCAUUGCACUUUGUUUUUAUACAGUAUCCUCCUGACCCUUUAUCUGUGGUUUUGUUUUCUGUGGUUUCAGUUACCUGUGAUUAACUGUGGUCCAAAAAUAUUAAGCAGAAAAUUCCAGAAAUAAACAAUUCAUAAGUUUUAAAUUGCAAGAGACCAUAUUUACAUAACCUCCAUUAUAGUAUAUUGUCAGAACUCUUCUGCUACUAGUUAAGUGCUGUUAAUCUCUUCAUGUGCCUAUGUCUUCAUAGAAGCAUCUCUCUUUGCAGUCUUCCUGACAUUUUUUUUAUGGCCUCCACUAGAGCAUUUACUAUGUUUUACUGUAACUUUCCGUCUUCGUGGAGUUUUCACUUUCCUCAUGUUUUCCUUAGAGAACAUGCAGGUGGUGAGAACAUUUAUUCUUAUUGCCUCUCUCAGGGAGACUUCUUUGGAACCUCCUCAGUCCCAGACCUCCUUGCCACUGCCAAAAACCAAUGGAAAAUUCCAUGUCACAGGUGCCACAGGAACCUCCUCAGUUCUCUCAUUUCCCACCUCCCCCUGGGGUCCUAUCUGGUUUCCCCAGACCCAUGCACCGGACUUCGGAAAACAGAAGCAGAAUGACAAACUCUGAGGCCACAUAGCCUUCAAUUCUGGCUCUGCCUUUUACUCAUUAUGUGAAAUCGAAUAGGUAGUCAUCUGUAAAGUAUGAAUAAUAAGGGGCUCAUCUCACAAGGUUGUUAUGAAGAUGAAGUAACUAAAACGUAUCAGGCACUUCAUUAGUGCUUUACACCUAGAACCUGGCACACACUGAAUAGGCCAUCGUUAUUUGCUCUUUUAUAUAAAGAUGUAACCUAAGAGCCAGCUGGUUCAGAAGGGUGGCAAUACAGAGGGUAUGCUUUAGCAGAAAGCAUACCACAGUGAUUUCCAGAGGCUCAGAGCUGAGCUAUUUGAGUUCAAAGAUCUCUAUGGCCUUGGAUAAGUGACUUAAUCUCUGUGCCUCAGUUUCUUAAUGCACUAAAUGAAGAUCGUAAUUCCUAAUUCCUUGGCUUUUUUUUAGGAUUAAAUGGAUUUAAUUCAUAUAAAGUUCCUAGAACUUGUAAUAACUUCGCUAAUUUAUUAUUAAUAUUAAUGUGAGUGGGAAGGCAUUUUGACACUCGUACCUAUGUAGAAAUUUGUCUCAUGUGAACUGCCCCUUCCACUCAAUAUUUCUCUUUCUCUUCAAAUUGCACCUUUACUUAUUCUCUUUGUACUUCCACAGAUUUGAGAUUUCCUCUUACUCCUUCUGGUAUCUAGAAAGCUUGAGUGGUACUUCACUCAAGUCAGCCAAAUGAGUUGCGGAGGAGAAUGGCUUUCCCUCCAUGAACAGUGAUUUGGUCCCUCCAAUUUCAGUUUAAUGUCCCCAUCAGAGAGUUGUGGGCUGGUGUUGACUGAAGCCCACCAAGAAGGAAGACAAAUCUUGAAAAUCUAAACUUGGGGGAGUUCCUGUAGUGGCUCAGUGGUUAACAAACCCGACUAGUAACCAUGAGGUUGUGAGUUUGAUCCUUGGCCUCACUCAGCGGGUUAAGGAUCUGGUGUUGCCAUGAGCUGCCGUGUAGGUCGCAGACGCAGCUCAGAUGCCACGUAGCUCCGAUUGGACCCCUAACCUGGGAACUUCCAUAUGCCUC
rnacentral:lncRNA from 1 species